rnacentral:rRNA from 1 species
CCUACGGGAGGCAGCAGUGAGGAAUAUUGGUCAAUGGGCGCGAGCCUGAACCAGCCAAGUAGCGUGAAGGAUGACUGCCCUACGGGUUGUAAACUUCUUUUAUCAGGGACGAAGGAUGUGACGGUACCUGAUGAAUAAGCUCCGGCUAACUACGUGCCAGCAGCCGCGGUAAUACGUAGGAGCAAGCGUUAUCCGGAUUUACUGGGUGUAAAGGGCGCGUAGGCGGGAUGGCAAGUCAGAUGUGAAAUCCAGGGGCUCAACCCCUGAACUGCAUUUGAAACUGUCGUUCUUGAGUACUGGAGAGGUUGACGGAAUUCCUAGUGUAGCGGUGAAAUGCGUAGAUAUUAGGAGGAACACCAGUGGCGAAGGCGGUCAACUGGACAGCAACUGACGCUGAGGCGCGAAAGCGUGGGGGGCAAACAGGAUUAGAUACCCCGGUAGUC